UACGUAGGGGGCUAGCGUUGUCCGGAAUCAUUGGGCGUAAAGAGCGCGUAGGCGGCCAGAUAAGUCCGGUGUGAAAGUCAAAGGCUCAACCUUUGAAUGCCGCUGGAAACUGUCUGGCUAGAGUCCGGGAGGGGCGAGUGGAAUUCCUGGUGUAGCGGUGAAAUGCGCAGAUAUCAGGAGGAACACCGAUAGCGAAGGCAGCUCGCUGGGACGGUACUGACGCUGAGGCGCGAAAGCGUGGGGAGCGAACAGG
rnacentral:rRNA from 1 species